UACGUAGGGUCCGAGCGUUGUCCGGAAUUAUUGGGCGUAAAGGGUGCGUAGGCGGCGCGGUAAGUCGGGUGUGAAAUCUCGGAGCUUAACUCCGAAACUGCAUUCGAUACUGGCGUGCUUGAGGACUGGAGAGGAGACUGGAAUUCAUGGUGUAGCAGUGAAAUGCGUAGAGAUCAUGAGGAAGACCAGUGGCGAAGGCGGGUCUCUGGACAGUUCCUGACACUGAGACACGAAGGCCAGGGGAGCAAACGGG
rnacentral:rRNA from 1 species